UGCGGCUGGAUCACCUCCUUUCUAAGGAAGAUGUUGAGUAUCAUUGAAUUUAUUGAGUGAUCUGAACGUUUUUUGAAGAUUAAAGCUUUUAAUUAAGCUUGAUAUAAAUUUGCUGUUGUGAAGCAGCGUUUUUAAAAGGAUCGCCGUCCAUGUUUCUCUUUCUUUUCGGAUUUUUUGCGAUGAUGGGGGGUCGUUAAUAUUUGGUUUUGAGGGCCCGUAGCUCAGGUGGUUAGAGUGCACCCCUGAUAAGGGUGAGGUCGGUAGUUCAAAUCUACCUGGGCCCACCACUUUUUGUUCAGGGGGCCGUAGCUCAGUCGGUAGAGCGCCUGCUUUGCAAGCAGGAUGCCAGCGGUUCGAUUCCGCUCGGCUCCACCAUUGGCGUAAUUAUGGAAUUUUGUUCUGAUUUUUUGGAGCAAGAGUUUUUUGAAAAUUGAAUAGAAGAUAUAUUUUUUUGUAUUUUUUAUGUUGGCAUUGUAUGCGACAUAUAAGAUACCGGCGUUGUUAACCGCACGUUGAGAAUUUAUCUCAGGAAAUUGGUCUAUUGAAGAAGCAUUAGCAUAUUAUGUUUUUUUAAUUAUAAAGAGUU
rnacentral:tRNA from 1 species